rnacentral:lncRNA from 1 species
GCUGGUCUCACCGCGAAGGCCUGGGCGUCACAGGCAGGGGGAAUGGGGAGGGGACGGUAGCGUCAGCCUAGACCCACACGCAGAAGCUGACAAUGACUGUUGGGCUUUUCCAAUGAAUACCAGAACACCAUUUCCUGCAGCCUGAAAAGAAGACAGUAUAAUUAUUUGGCAGCAAGAGAAACCAGGUGCCCUACCAUGAGAAACCCAAGCCAUGUGGAGAAGCCACAUCUAGGGACUCCAGUUAACACUCUCAGCUGAGUUCCCAGCUGACAGUCAGCAUCAACUGCCAGCCACCUCUGCCUAAAAGUGGGCCAUCUUGGGCAUCCGGCCCAGUCAAGCCUUCAGAUGAGUCCAGUCCCAGCUACUAUCUCACACAACCACACGAGAGACAUCAAGAACUCCCAGUGGAGUCCAGUCAGCCCAUGGAACUGUAAGAGACAGGAUCUCACUGUGUUGCUCAGACUGGUCUCGAACUCCUGGGCUUAAGGGAUUAUCCUGCCUCAAUCACAGUCUCCCAAGUAGCUGAGAUUACAAGUGCUCACCACCGUGCCAGCCAGUUCAGUUUUUGAGAUAAGGGGAAAUUGGAGCUCAGAGAUUUAAGCCACCUGCCAGAGGUCACAUGGCCCAUAAAAGUGUCCUCCGACUGACUCUGUGCUUGGCCCUGUGACUUGCUUUGGCCAAUGGUACAGCAGCAAACUUGAUGCAAACACAACUUGAAAAAGAAGAGGACAGCCAAGUCAUCCCAGCCAAGGCCACCCUGGACCAGCCAGCCUCUUGCCAAGCUGCCAGUGACCACAGAGUCCAAUUAACAACAGCCAGUCCUGGCCCAGGGUGGAGCCAAGACUCUGAGGAGAGGGCUGAACUGUGAACCUAGAAGUACCAUCUCCCCCUGCACACGCCUUUGGUCAAGUUGACCCCAAGAAGAAGGACAAGUCCUCUGCACACCGAUGACACCAUACACACAGUCUGUGGCCCGGCUUUGGGAGACUGAUGGGACAAAGGAUGCUUUGCAUGAUCCUUGGUCUCUGAGCAAAUAUAUACGUGGGUUAACACAAA